rnacentral:rRNA from 1 species
GUUAAUUAGGCCUUUUCAUCUUAUCCAUCCACUGCAUCCCGCCUGAUUGGAUCUGAUUUCGAAAAUCCUGUUCCCCUUUGUGUAGAUGAAAACACCAAAUCUGCUUUGCUUUUCCCCGUUCAUCUCAAAAGAUUUUACCCCUGUUGGCUCCCUCUCUCUCUCUCUCUCUCUCAGUCAUCAGUCAAUUUCUCACCCCUGUUGUACAGUCCAUUUCAACAUUCGUAGAACAUAUUCAGUACUGAACGAACAUUCGCAAGAUGAGCAACAAAUCAAACAAGGGGUACAGAUAAUCAUCUUAUUAUAUGACGGAUGAUUACAGAGGAUGGGUGUGCAAAGCGAAGUGUCGGUCGUGGCUACCACUAGUGUUUUUACCUGAAGUGAUUGAUACAUCAUCAAUUCCAUCCACACAAGUGUCAGUCAAUUCCUCACCCGUGGUAAUCAGUAGUGUUCAACUUCAACACUUGAGCAUUCGCAAGGAAUCAAAGAUGGGCAGUAGAAAUAAUAAUACGUAGUAAUAAUAUUAUUAUGAUAUGAUGGAUGAUUACAGAGGAUGGGUGCGUGCGUGAGGCGAAGUAUGGGUCGUGGCUACCGCUACUGAAGAUGGCUGAUACAGGUGUCAACUCAACUCAACUCAACUACUGGUGCUGAUUGCUAAUGACAAGCACUUAAUUUAAGCGAGCGGCGGCUCCGGUGCUACCGCUAAUGUAUGUUGUUGUUGUUGUGGUCGUGGCAGGGCGGCGGCGGCGAGGGGCGGAAGAUGGCGUCGAGGUCGUCGAAGCGGAGGCUGAUGACCUGGACGUCGAAGAGGCGCUUCCGGCAGGCGGCGUCGGGGCGCGGGCGCGGCUUCCGCGGCGCCGGCGGGCAGGUGGCGGCCUGGCCCAGGCAGCCGACCCCGGCGCCCGUGGGCGUCCGGCAGCAGCGGUGGUAGUCGUCGUCGGCGCCGUCGGCGGCGAGGAGGUGGAGGCGCGGCGAGAAGGCGGCGGGCGGCUUGAAGAACUCGGGCGAGGCGGCGGCCAUGGAUGAGUGGAUGGAUGGUUCCUGUUCCUUUGAAAAAAAGAAAAGAAAAGAAAGGGAGGGAUUUGAAAAGGAGAGGAGGGGUGCGGGUGCGGGUGCCGGUGUGGGGGGCGAGGGAAGCGCGGCGUAUAUGUAGCGGGGGUGACGGGCCAGACGGGAGUGGGGGAUGGGAUGGGAGGUGCGUGCGGGGGAAGUGUGAAACGGAGCACAAGGUAACCGGCCGACCCGACCCUCCUUGUCCACCUUGCUGCGCACGAUAGGCUUCGCCCCCGCCUUUUUUACUCCGAGGUUUGCCUAUUCACUCGGGUCUAUGUGUGGUCAACUAUUCGGG